rnacentral:rRNA from 1 species
CUACGGGGUGCUCCAGUGGGGAAUAUUGCACAAUGGGCGCAAGCCUGAUGCAGUCAUGCCGCGUGUAUGAAGAAGGCCUUCGGGUUGUAAAGUACUUUCAGCGGGGAGGAAGGGAGUAAAGUUAAUACCUUUGCUCAUUGACGUUACCCGCAGAAGAAGCACCGGCUAACUCCGUGCCAGCAGCCGCGGUAAUACGGAGGGUGCAAGCGUUAAUCGGAAUUACUGGGCGUAAAGCGCACGCAGGCGGUUUGUUAAGUCAGAUGUGAAAUCCCCGGGCUCAACCUGGGAACUGCAUCUGAUACUGGCAAGCUUGAGUCUCGUAGAGGGGGGUAGAAUUCCAGGUGUAGCGGUGAAAUGCGUAGAGAUCUGGAGGAAUACCGGUGGCGAAGGCGGCCCCCUGGACGAAGACUGACGCUCAGGUGCGAAAGCGUGGGGAGCAAACAGGAUUAGAUACCCCCGUAGUC